CCUACGGGCGGCUGCAGUGGGGAAUCUUCCGCAAUGGGCGCAAGCCUGACGGAGCAACGCCGCGUGAGUGAAGAAGGCCUUCGGGUUGUAAAACUCUGUCAUCAGGGAAGAAGAAAGUGACGGUACCUGAGGAGGAAGCCCCGGCUAACUACGUGCCAGCAGCCGCGGUAAAACGUAGGGGGCGAGCGUUGUCCGGAAUUACUGGGCGUAAAGGGCGCGUAGGCGGUUAUCCAAGUCAGGGGUGAAAACCUUGGGCUCAACUCAGGGCCUGCCUCUGAAACUGGGUAACUUGAGGGCAGGAGAGGGGAGUGGAAUUCCCAGUGUAGCGGUGAAAUGCGUAGAUAUUGGGAGGAACACCAGUGGCGAAGGCGGCUCUCUGGCCUAACCCUGACGCUGAGGCGCGAAAGCGUGGGGAUCAAACAGGAUUAGAUACCCCAGUAGUC
rnacentral:rRNA from 1 species